UACGAAGGGGGCUAGCGUUGCUCGGAAUCACUGGGCGUAAAGGGUGCGUAGGCGGGUCUUUAAGUCGGGGGUGAAAUCCUGGAGCUCAACUCCAGAACUGCCUUUGAUACUGAGGAUCUUGAGUUCGGGAGAGGUGAGUGGAACUGCGAGUGUAGAGGUGAAAUUCGUAGAUAUUCGCAAGAACACCAGUGGCGAAGGCGGCUCACUGGCCCGGUACUGACGCUGAGGCACGAAAGCGUGGGGAGCAAACAGG
rnacentral:rRNA from 1 species